rnacentral:lncRNA from 1 species
GAUUUUAAAAACUUGAUGGAAGAUGCAGAAUCAUCACUGUGGCAGACAGAUCAACUGAGCAGAAUAACUGAAUCUCAGGCUGAAUAGGAUCAUAAUGAGCCUCUAAGGAUUGAUCUUGAACAUUCAGUCUCUUUGAUUGUUGGAGACAGAAAGGAAAUUGGACACCAUCUACUCCAAACCCAUCACUUUAUCUUAGGAAUUUGAAGGUCCAACAGAAUCAAUGACUUGCCUGAGGACACAGCUCACUAGAAAUAGAGAGCUGAGCAGGAAAAGAUGGGAAGUAUUCCAGAAUUGUGGAAUGACUAUACAGGCAGAAGCCAGGCGAAAAAACAGAAGGUGACCUCACAGUGGUUUGGUUGAAUGAAACUUGAUCAAAAAUAUAAGUGAUUAAAUAAACUUUGGGGAAUGACCUUGACA